GGACGUCUGUCAUACAUGAUAAAUCUUCGGCAAGUGAAGCGAAAAACAUUAACUAAGAAUUAAUGAACGUCUACGAUGUUUUCAUUACUAAGAGAAUAACAUCGUGUUAAAAAUUCGAUUAAAAAUUUAUCAUUGCACUGGUGGUUGUUUUAGCGCAUGUGUGCUGAGACUACUAUAACACAGUAGUAGUUAGUAGUUAUAGUAGUCUCAGAUGUGUGUCAUACUAGAUAAAUUUCGACCAGUAAAAUAACAAAAAACCAAUUGAACAUUUAAUUUAAAUAAGACUGCGUUUAAAAAUCCCAUUGAAAGAUUAUAAUUACACAUGUGGUUGUAAAUAUUACUUGUGUGACACCGAAUCUUAAAUAGAAAUUGUAUACUACUCUUGUACACUUAGGAAGCUACUGAAGUAGGUUAAACUUGAAAUAUGUAACUAGUCGGAAAAAAAGAUCAAAGGUACCUUUUCAGUAAAUAAAAUUUAAGAUUUAAGUGAUUACAUCGUGUUAAUAAAAUGCAAUUUUUUUUUUACCGAAUCACCUCCCUGGUAUUUAUUUUUACUGUUGAAAUUAUUUGUACUGUUAGACUAGAUAAUUAUUUACUUUGAGCGAUGUAUUAUAUUUACCAUUCGAGAUUCUUUUUGCAAUCCCUUCUUUAGCGUUUUAGCUGAAUGUUUGAUUCUGAUAUUACUACGCGGGCCUUUUUAGGGAUUUUGAAUAGAAAAUAAAUGCAAAAAUGUGAGUUUUUCUGUCUUCCAAAACACAAACAAUUUACGGAAUUAAUUACAAGUGAGGAUAAAAACUGUUUAGUGUCUUUAAAUACGUAUCAGCUGUAUUUGUACUCGGCUCGAAACAGGAGUAGUAGCCCGCUGAAGCUCUCAUUACACCUGUUUCUUAGCCUCGUAC
rnacentral:lncRNA from 1 species